AUCAGUAAGCGGAGGAAAAGAAACUAACUAGGAUUCCCUUAGUAGCGGCGAGCGAACAGGGAAAAGCCCAGCACCGAAUCUCGAGCUUGGUAAAGCGGGUUCAGAGAAAUGUGGUGUUCGGGAGGACCGUGCGCGUCCGUCCGGCAUUCGUCCAAGUCUUCAUGAACGAGGCGAACAACCCAUAGAGGGUGUCAGGCCCGUAGACAGGCGAGCCGCGACCGUGUAUCGGGUCCCUUCCCAAGAGUCGGGUUGCUUGAGAGUGCAGCCCUAAGCGGGAGGUAAACUCCUUCUAAGGCUAAAUAUCGCCACGAGACCGAUAGCGAACAAGUACCGCGAGGGAAAGUUGAAAAGAACUUUGAAGAGAGAGUUCAAGAGUGCGUGAAACCGUUCAGGGGGUUAAACGGGUGGGCCCUCGAAGGUCGAACGUGUCCCCGCUCCCGUGUUUUUUGUCGUGCCGGUUCGGACUUGACUUAGCGAUCUCUAUUCGGGACGCGGUUUUGACUGUAACUCGGUCGGCGAGCACUGCAAGUGGGGGACCUAGUAGGACUCCGCAACCGGCUGGGUGUGCCGUCAAAAGUGUUGCUGUCAACUUGGCUUCGAGAGAUAUUUUAUGUCUUUCGUUGCUGAGUCCGGCUUCUACGGACGGUCCUGCCCGGCCGUGACCUGUCAUCGUGGCGGCGGUGCGCUUUUUCGGAAGCACACAAGUCGCUCGACCCAGAGCGGAGAGUAGAAGUCGGGUCCCACCCGACCCGUCUUGAAACACGGACCAAGGAGUCUAACAUGUGCGCGAGUCGUCGAGUCUAAUCGAAACUCGUGAGGCGCAAUGAAAGUAAAGUUUUUGCCCUGAUGAAGGUGCAACAAGGGGAGAUCUCGUCUUUUUUUCAAACCGAAGCGAGCGCAUCCCCAGGGCGUUCGAAGCCGCGACAUUUAGUCGGCCGAACGAACCUAGAGCGUACACGUUGGGACCCGAAAGAUGGUGACCUAUGCCUGGCCAGGACGAAGCCAGGGGAAACCCUGGUGGAGGUCCGCAGCGAUUCUGACGUGCAAAUCGAUCGUCGGAGUUGGGUAUAGGGGCGAAAGACUAAUCGAACCAUCUAGUAGCUGG
rnacentral:rRNA from 1 species